GGUUUGGUGGUCUAGUAGUAUGAUUCACCCUUAGGGUUUGCCUUCCUCUCGGGGAGGAAACCAAUCUGGGUGAGGUCCCGGGUUCAAUUCCCGGCCAGACCC